rnacentral:rRNA from 1 species
UUUACAAUGGAGAGUUUGAUCCUGGCUCAGGAUGAACGCUAGCGGCAGGCUUAAUACAUGCAAGUCGUGGGGCAGCAGGGGUAGCAAUACCCGCUGGCGACCGGCAAACGGGUGCGCAAUACGUACGCAACCUUCCUUUAAGCGGGGAAUAGCCCAGAGAAAUUUGGAUUAAUACCCCAUAGUAUAUUGAAGAGGCAUCUUUUUAAUAUUAAAGCUCCGGCACUUAAAGAUGGGCGUACGGCUGAUUAGGUAGUUGGCGGGGUAACGGCCCACCAAGCCUACGAUCAGUAGCUGAUGUGAGAGCAUGAUCAGCCACACGGGCACUGAGACACGGGCC